GCUGGCGGCAGGCCUAACACAUGCAAGUCGAACGGAGUUAUAUUGUAGCUUGCUAUGGUAUAACUUAGUGGCAGACGGGUGAGUAAUGUAUAGGAAUCUACCUAGUAGUACGGAAUAAUUGUUGGAAACGGCAACUAAUACCGUAUACGCCCUACGGGGGAAAAAUUUAUUGCUAUUAGAUGAGCCUAUAUUAGAUUAGCUAGUUGGUGGAGUAAUAGCCUACCAAGGCAAUGAUCUAUAGCUGAUCUGAGAGGAUGAUCAGCCACACUGGAACUGAGAUACGGUCCAGACUCCUACGGGAGGCAGCAGUGGGGAAUAUUGGACAAUGGGCGAAAGCCUGAUCCAGCCAUGCCGCAUGAGUGAAGAAGGCCUUUGGGUUGUAAAGCUCUUUUAGUGAGGAAGAUAAUGACGGUACCCACAGAAGAAGUCCUGGCUAACUCCGUGCCAGCAGCCGCGGUAAUACGGAGAGGGCUAGCGUUAUUCGGAAUUAUUGGGCGUAAAGGGCGCGUAGGCGGAUUAGUAAGUUAAAAGUGAAAUCCCAAGGCUCAACCUUGGAAUUGCUUUUAAAACUGCUAAUCUAGAGAUUGAAAGAGGAUAGAGGAAUUCCUAGUGUAGAGGUGAAAUUCGUAAAUAUUAGGAGGAACACCAGUGGCGAAGGCGUCUAUCUGGUUCAAAUCUGACGCUGAGGCGCGAAGGCGUGGGGAGCAAACAGGAUUAGGUACCCUGGUAGUCCACGCUGUAAACGAUGAAUGUUAAAUAUGGGAAGUUUUACUUUCUGUAUUACAGCUAACCCGUUAAACAUUCCGCCUGGG
rnacentral:rRNA from 1 species